ACGUACACUCCUACGGGAGGCAGCAGUGGGGAAUUUUGGACAAUGGGCGAAAGCCUGAUCCAGCCAUGCCGCGUGCAGGAUGAAGGCCUUCGGGUUGUAAACUGCUUUUGUACGGAACGAAACGGCCUUUUCUAAUAAAGAGGGCUAAUGACGGUACCGUAAGAAUAAGCACCGGCUAACUACGUGCCAGCAGCCGCGGUAAUACGUAGGGUGCAAGCGUUAAUCGGAAUUACUGGGCGUAAAGCGUGCGCAGGCGGUUAUGUAAGACAGUUGUGAAAUCCCCGGGCUCAACCUGGGAACUGCAUCUGUGACUGCAUAGCUAGAGUACGGUAGAGGGGGAUGGAAUUCCGCGUGUAGCAGUGAAAUGCGUAGAUAUGCGGAGGAACACCGAUGGCGAAGGCAAUCCCCUGGACCUGUACUGACGCUCAUGCACGAAAGCGUGGGGAGCAAACAGGAUUAGAAACCCGAGUAGUCCCAU
rnacentral:rRNA from 1 species